rnacentral:rRNA from 1 species
UCAAGUUAUUAAGGGCAUACGGUGAAUGCCUUGGUGCCAGGGGGCGAUGAAGGGCGUGGCCAGCUGCGAUAAGCCACGGGUAGCCGCAAGCAGGCGUUGAUCCGUGGAUACCCGAAUGGGGGAACCCACUGCGAGUCAUGUCGCAGUACCCGUACCUGAAUACAUAGGGUACGGGGGCGAACCCGGGGAACUGAAACAUCUUAGUACCCGGAGGAGAAGAAAACAACCGUGAUUCCCCAAGUAGCGGCGAGCGAACGGGGAGUAGCCCAAACCAUGUACGUGUCAAAGUCUGCCGGCGUUGCGUAUGUGGGGUAGCGGGUCACAUUGUCGGGGAUCGGCAGGUUUCCGGCGGCGGAAGUUUUAUCUUUAGCCGAAGCGGACUGGAAAGUCCCGCCGCAGAAGGUAACAGCCCUGUAGGCGAAAAGGAUAAGACAGCUGUAGAUGUGCACCCAAGUAGCACGGGACACGUGGAACCCCGUGUGAAUCAGGGAGGCCCACCUCCCAAGGCUAAAUACCACCUGGCGACCGAUAGUGCACUAGUACCGUGAGGGGAAGGUGAAAAGCACCCCGGGAGGGGAGUGAAAUAGAACCUGCAACCGUAUGCUUACAAGCAGUAACGGCACUAUGUUUAUUAUAAACACUGUGUUGUUGCGUACUUUUUGUAGAACGGGCCGGCGAGUUGCGUUGUGCAGCGAGGUUAAGCGGUUCAGCCGCGGAGCCGCAGCGAAAGCGAGUCUGAAGAGGGCGACAUAGUUGCACGGCGCAGACCCGAAACCGGGUGAUCUACCCAUGGCCAGGGUGAAACUUGUCUAACCGCAAGUGGAGGCCCGAACCCACCAAUGUGAAAAAUUGGGGGAUGAGCUGUGGGUAGCGGUGAAAAGCCAAUCGAACCCGGAUAUAGCUGGUUCUCCCCGAAAUAGCUUUCGGGCUAGCGUCAGAUGUUGAGUUGUGGAGGUAGAGCACUGUUUGGGCUAGGGGCCUUACCCGGUUACCGAACUCAGACAAACUCCGAAUGCCAUAUACUUAAAUCUGGCAGUCAGACUACGGGAGCUAAGUUUCGUAGUCGAGAGGGGAACAGCCCAGAUCGUCAGUUAAGGUCCCGAAGUACAGGCUAAGUGGGAAAGGAUGUGGAAUUGCCGAUACAACCAGGAUGUUGGCUUAGAAGCAGCCAUCAUUUAAAGAGUGCGUAAUAGCUCACUGGUCUAGUGGUUCUGCGCCGAAAAUGUAACGGGGCUAAGCCUGUCACCGAAACUGCGGCAUACCGAGAGGUAUGGGUAGGGGAGCGUUGCAGAUGUGCUGAAGCGGUACCGAGAGGAGCCGUGGAGCGUCUGGAAGUGAGAAUGCCGGCAUGAGUAGCGAGAAGGCAGGUGAGAAUCCUGCCCGCCGAAAGCCUAAGGUUUCCUGAGGAAGGCUCGUCCACUCAGGGUUAGUCGGGCCCUAAGCCGAGGCAGAAAUGCGUAGGCGAUGGACAACAGGUUGAUAUUCCUGUACCACCUGCAGCUGUUUGAGCGAAGGGGUGACGCAGAAGGGUAGGCACAGCGCACCGUUGGUAGAGUGCGUCCAAGCGUUUAGGGAGUGCGGACAGGCAAAUCCGUCUGCAUGAAAAUCCUGAGGCGUGAUGGGGAGCGAAAUUAGAGUAGCGAACUGGCUGAUCCCCCGCUGCCGAGAAAAGCCUCUAGUUAGGGUGUGGGUGCCCGUACCGCAAACCGACACAGGUAGGCGAGGAGAGAAUCCUCAGGCGCGCGGAAGAACCUUCGUUAAGGAACUCGGCAAAUUGACCCCGUAACUUCGGGAGAAGGGGUGCCACAGGCCCAAGCGACUGUUUACCAAAAACACAGGUCUCUGCGAAGUCGCAAGACGACGUAUAGGGGCUGACGCCUGCCCGGUGCUGGAAGGUUAAGAGGAGGGGUUAGCCUUCAGGCGAAGCUCUGAAUCUAAGCCCCAGUAAACGGCGGCCGUAACUAUAACGGUCCUAAGGUAGCGAAAUUCCUUGUCGGGUAAGUUCCGACC